rnacentral:rRNA from 1 species
UACAGAGGUCUCAAGCGUUGUUCGGAUUCAUUGGGCGUAAAGGGUGCGUAGGCGGCGGGGCAAGUCGGAUGUGAAAUCUCAGGGCUCGACCCUGAAACUGCAUUCGAUACUGCCCUGCUCGAGGACUGGAGAGGAGAUUGGAAUUCACGGUGUAGCAGUGAAAUGCGUAGAUAUCGUGAGGAAGACCAGUGGCGAAGGCGGAUCUCUGGGCCGAUACUGACGCUGAGGAGCGAAAGCGUGGGGAGCGAACAGG